AGGUCACUUGAAACAAGCCCCCACUGAGGCAGCACAUUGACGGCUGUAACGGUGCUCGAAUUUGCUUCGCAGAACCCUGUGAAAAUGGCUUCGGUGUCGAGAGCCGCGCUGGUCUUUCUUUUGCUGGGCCUUUUGGUGGUCCAACACGCGCAGUGUCAGAUCACCUUUUCAAAGAACUGGCAGCCGGGCAAACGAGGUGAAAUGUGCUCCCAGAGGGAAGCCCAGGCCGUCAUCAAGCUUCGCCAAGUUCUUUUAGAGGAAGCUAAGCUGGUGGCUGAGUGUCGAAUGUUCUACGCCAGUGACGGCGCUCCCGAGGAAUGAGUCCACGCUCGUACGGAUGAACAGCGGAAAAUUGGCCACUGCUUCAGAGAGUGUGUCUACUUUCCUCUGUAACAGUGGUCCUUCGGAGUAAUAAAGACGCGAUAUGUGAUGCCAGC